rnacentral:misc_RNA from 1 species
UCCGGUUUGUCACCGGCAGUCUCCCAUGAGUCCCCGGCAUUACCCGCUGGCAACAUGGGACGGGGGUUGCGCUCGUUGCGGGACUUAACCCAACACCUCACGGCACGAGCUGACGACAGCCAUGCACCACCUGUGACGGUGUCCCGAAGGAAAGCCGUGUUUCCACGGCGGUCACCGACAUGUCAAGCCCAGGUAAGGUUCUUCGCGUUGCGUCGAAUUGAACCACAUGCUCCGCUGCUUGUGCGGGUCCCCGUCAAUUCCUUUGAGUUUUAGCCUUGCGGCCGUACUCCCCAGGCGGGGCACUUAAUGCGUUAGCUUCGGCACGGGAGGAGUCGACACCUCCCACACCUAGUGCCCAUCGUUUACGGCGUGGACUAC